rnacentral:misc_RNA from 1 species
CCGAGAUGAGGUGACCGGCGCCCGCGCGCGCCGGCCACGAACCUCACCAACCCGUGUCUACCGUACCUCGUUGCUUCGGCGGGCCCGCCGCUCCGUCGGCCGCCGGGGGACUCUAUGUCCCCGGGCCCGUGCCCGCCGAAGACCUCCUGAACACUGCCUGAAGGUUGCCGUCUGAGCCAGAAUGAUUAAAUCAAACA